rnacentral:rRNA from 1 species
AAGUCGUAACAAGGUUUCCGUAGGUGAACCUGCGGAAGGAUCAUUAAAGAAUACCGGCUUCGCAGCCAAUAUUCUCGCCCUCUGUAUACCAAACUUUGUUGCUUUGGCAGGCCCCUGGCUUCAGCUGGACUGUGCCUGCCAGAGGACCCCUAACUCUUGAAUGCCUGCUGUCUGAGUACUAUCUAAAUAGUUAAAACUUUCAACAACGGAUCUCUUGGUUCUGGCAUCGAUGAAGAACGCAGCGAAAUGCGAUAAGUAAUGUGAAUUGCAGAAUUCAGUGAAUCAUCGAAUCUUUGAACGCACAUUGCGCUCCCUGGUAUUCCGGGGAGCAUGCCUGUUCGAGCGUCAUGAAAACAAUCAACACCUUGACUUUGGUUUCAUUACCAUGGACUUGGAUUGGACUUUGGGUGUUUGCCGGUCUCACGAUCGGCUCACCUUAAAUGAAUUAGCUGGACUUGUUUGUGAGGACUGGUUUGACUUGGCGUAAUAAGUAUUUCGCCAAGGACAUUGCUUUGGUAAUGGCCAGCCUCUCAACGACUGUCUGCUUUCUAACUCUUGUGUUCAGUCUCAUGAUGUUGACACUUUUUCUCUCAUGAUCUGGCCUCAAAUCAGGUAGGACUACCCGCUGAACUUAA